AUCUGGAGGAAUAACACCUUCUGUCCAGUUGAGGAACAGGUGUCAGCGCAAAGCUCAUAAUGACUGUUACCUGAACACUCAAGUG